UACGUAGGGUGCGAGCGUUAAUCGGAAUUACUGGGCGUAAAGUGUGCGCAGGUGGCUGAGCAAGUCGAGUGUGAAAUCCCCGAGCUUAACUUGGGAAUUGCGCUCGAAACUACGUGGCUCGAGUGUGGCAGAGGAAGGUGGAAUUCCACGUGUAGCGGUGAAAUGCGUAGAGAUGUGGAGGAACACCGAUGGCGAAGGCAGCCUUCUGGGCCAACACUGACGCUCAUGCACGAAAGCGUGGGGAGCGAACAGG
rnacentral:rRNA from 1 species